CAAUUGGAAAAUAAUACCUGGAUUGCUUCUUCCCAAGCAUGUGAGCUGCAGCGGAGUGUAACUAUGGGGAGCUAACCUCUGGUGCUUGUGAAAUUGCCAUUUGGAAGCAGUAGUUUCUCCUGAAAGUUUUGUUGAAGAGUGGAGAGAAGACUACUAAAGAUCAAGAACGGCAAAGGCUCUUAGUUAAAAACACAACUCUCAAAACAAGACAACUACCAGGAUCCAUCCAUUACCAAAGAUUCUUCGAAGUGUGAGGUUGAAUAGCCAAAUAGGACACUGAAUAGAACUGUUGUAAUACACAGCAAAAGAAGAAACAGCAUUUUUGUAUGUAGCUUCGUUACGGAGAAUUCUUCCUUGCAAAUCUCUGUGAAACACAGGUGAUGCUGUGUGAUAUGCAGCUAGUGAUGAGAUUAUUUACUAUCC